AUGUAAGCUUAAAACCAAUAUUCACACCGACAUGUAGAAUACACAUGGCUUUGUACACUGAUGCUAAUUCCGGGACUUAAAAUGGCAUUUGCUGGCACAGAACAUAUCACGAGGCUACUAACGAAAUGGCUGCAAUACAAUAAAUAAGGAACAGAGGAGCACAUUUCUCGGUAGGAAAUGAGCAGCUAAACCCUCCGCCUUUACCCUGCAAAGAUGACUGAUGGCAGCUCUGCUGGACUAACAAAUUCCCAUCUGCUAGCUAUGUUCAAUCGACAGGAAACUCAUCAAUCUGUGUUGACGGGAGUCCAAGUAACAACAGACAAAAGAGAUGCUGGAAGAUUGGAGAAGAAAAAAGCUACGCUAUUGCAUUAAAUGACAGGACAGGGCUACUACAAAUGAUUCCAGACACUUUAUUUCAAUGAUGAAGUCUAAUAUAACAUACCUUUGCUGAGAAGAAAAGCAAAAGGCUUUUCCUGUGGCUUGCAUCAUCUUGCCUGCCCUGGUUUUAUCCUGAGAACCUUGGAAUCGGAGAAAUUUUCCUAAUUCAUUUUCUUCAUGAGACAUAA